AAACAUUAGCUAUGCCAAUGUCGCCAUUGAAAAACAAAUCUCUGCUUCUUCUAGUUUCUUUCUUUCAUCUACAACAGUUAACAUUUCGGUUCUUGCUCUCAUGGCAUUCUAAAGAAGAGAAAGGUGAUUUCUUCGCAGUUUUUACAUUAAUUGAGAGUGUUAUUCUUUUCUUUGUAACGAUUUCCAUAUUCUAAUGGCAGCCAUUGUUUACACUUACAGGUUACGUCUGGACUCCAGUUCACAAUACAGCCUUGGACUUGAUUGCUAAUGAAGAUCUUGAAGAGGAAUUUGAAGAUGAAGAAGGGGAGGAGUUUCUUGUCUUCUUUUUUCUUUUUGAUUUCUU
rnacentral:lncRNA from 1 species